rnacentral:rRNA from 1 species
GGAAGUCUGGUGCCAGCAGCCGCGGUAAUUCCAGCUCCAAUAGCGUAUAUUAAAGUUGUUGCAGUUAAAAAGCUCGUAGUUGAACCUCGGGAUCAAUGGAUCGGUCAUGCCAUCGGUAUGUACUGGUCUCAUUGGUUCUCACCUUCUAAGGAACCAUGAUGUCAUUCAGUUGAUGUUGUGGGGAAUUAGGACUGUUACCUUGAAAAAAUUAGAGCGUUUAAAGCAGGCUAACGCUUGGAUACAUUAGCAUGGAAUAAUGAAAUAGGACAUCGCAUUCUAUUUUGUUGGUUUCUAGGAUCGAUGUAAUGAUUAAUAGGGAUAGUUGGGGGCAUUAGUAUUCAAUUGUCAGAGGUGAAAUUCUUGGAUUUAUUGAAGACUAACUACUGCGAAAGCAUUUGCCAAGGAUGUUUUCAUUAAUCAAGAACGAAAGUUAGGGGAUCGAAGACGAUCAGAUACCGUCGUAGUCUUAACCAUAAACUAUGCCGACUAGGGAUCGGAUGAUGUUAAUUUUUUAAUGACUCAUUCGGCGCCUUACGGGAAAC